rnacentral:misc_RNA from 1 species
CGACAUAUACAUCUUUAUAUCUAUUUGUCUGUCUGUCUUUCACACGCUUUCUACUCACACAGACGUGCGCAGAUAUCUAUUUAUUUCUCCCUGACUACCGACAUAUAUAGACACACUACACACACUCAGACUCACACUCACACACAUAUAUACUCACAUAUACACUUACUUGCUGUAUAUACACCUAUCUUACUAUGUACUGGGAUUAUGAUGUUUAAAACGGCGUCGAAGAAGCAUUUCAACAACUUCGUUUCGACGGGGUCAGCUGACUUGAAAGUAUUUCCAAGGAGUUAAAAAAGACAAUUUGCCUCUAACCUGUGGUGUGCCAUAAGGUUCUACCUCCCACAUUAAAGUGUUCUUUCCGUAAGCAUGCAAGCAGUGGUACCGAAAUGUAACGGCCACACCGUUUUCACCCAGUGUGUGCGCUGUGCUCACACUUUGACCAAAAAUGUCCAAGUUGUAUCAUCCAAAGAACUGCAACAGCUGAUGCAAGCAGUUCAAAAUCUCUAUUCCCAUAACUAUUGCACGUCCUGCUGCAAAAUGCUGUCGCCGAAAUUGAACCUGCAUCGCAACACACGACUGUCUGAAUCUCAUCAGUUACCUUUGCUUCUGCCCAUUGCCAAUUUCUUCAAUUUUCGUUGUAGCAGUACUACGAAGCCGUACUGGAAAGAUGUUGUCCGGUCGGUGCAAGCGGCUACGGUGAAAAUGAAAAAGAUGCAGGAGCCUGGCUAUUAUCCGGUUACCAACAGAGAAAUGAACACAGACCUUAGGCGGUUCCUUAGUGAGGUUGGAACAGACCCAAAGGAAGCCCGUUAUUGGUUAAAACAGUUUGUUAUUGGAGAGAGCAUCAGACCAUUUGCCGUUGUUCAAGUUGAUCCAGAAGUCUUCUGUGAAAAAGCACAACUCGAAGCCUUUGCCUCGUGUAUCUCCUUCCUGCAUCGGAACAGUAUGCGUCCGGUUGUCAUUCUGGGAACUGACUUCAAUGAGAAUGAAACCAUGAAAACAGAAGACUUUAAGAUUUCUCGAGCUAAGAUGCUUGGUGACUGUAUAAUCCUGACCAGCAUGUUGGAAUUGUUUGGCACCAAUACUCGACCAUUUUUCAGCGGCAGCAACAUUGUAGAAGCAGUACAAAGCAGUAGUAAUAGCGUUUUCGGCAAAGUGAGUGCUAUAAACAGCGACCCAAUCAAAUGGUGUUUGCAUUCCAAACACGUCCCGAUCAUUCCCGCUGUUGGUGAGACGCCGUCCGGUCAGAUUUUGGCUGUCGAUCUCUGGAACGUCACUGAAGAAAUUUCCAAAGCACUUCAACCCCUCAAAGUAAUGAAAAUCAACCUGAAAGGCGGCUUUCUUGAUGAAGAAGGCCAUGUCAUUCCUAACAUUAACUUACCUGUCGAUUUGGAAACAGUAGCAGAGAAACCCUGGUACACACCUGAAAUCAAAAGUCGGAUAUCAAGGAUUUCAGACUUACUCUAUCAGCUUCCAAGCCACAGCUCUGUUGUGAUAACAUCAGUGGACAAAAUGCUACAAGAACUGUUCACGCAUCGAGGUUCUGGAACAUUCUUUAAGAUUACCGAACCAAUUCACCGAUACCAUCACCUCGAGCAAGUCGAUCAAGCCAGACUGCACAAUCUUCUCUUAAAAGCUUUUGGUCGCAACUUGAAAGACGGUUAUUUUGAAAUGAUUCAAAACCAACUUCACACUUUGUAUUUGUCCGAAGAUUACAGUGCCGCAGCCAUCAUCCUCCACGAAAAUAGCACUGAUGUCCCAUAUCUUGAUAAAUUCGCAGUAUCACAGAAGGCACAGGGAGAAGGCACAGGCGAGAUGUUGUGGGCGUGUGUACGACAAGAUUUCAAACAAGUGUUUUGGCGAUCCAGGGGAGAUAACCCAAUCAAUCCAUGGUAUUUUAAGAAAUCCGAAGGGAGUUGGAGCAAUGGAAAAUGGACUGUUUUUUGUUGCAUGGAUGCCCUACCACUAACCACUCGACCGUGAAGUAGGAGUGGAACAGGCAAACAAACUGGAGCAAGCAGAAUAAUUAUAAUGAUAAUAACAAUAACGUGCCUUGCUCAAGGGGCACAACACACACAAACCCGCUGUAGUCAGGUUUUGAACCCAUGACCUUACAGUCGGCAUCAUCAGUCCAGCACCUUAACUGGUCACGGUACGGAAUCCAGUACCACAACACGUCAUCACUGCUUAUAGAUGUAGCUUUGGAAAAAGAAAGUUCUUUCGCAUCAUAGGAGCAAGAUAACGGAAACGACAACAACACCAACAAAAACAACAAAGG